rnacentral:rRNA from 1 species
CUACGGGCUGCUCCAGUAAGGAAUAUUGCGCAAUGGAGGCAACUCUGACGCAGCCAUGCCGCGUGCAGGAAGAAGGCCUUAUGGGUCGUAAACUGCUUUUAUUUAGGAAUAAAUCCCCGAACGUGUUCGGGGCUGAAGGUACUAAACGAAUAAGCACCGGCUAACUCCGUGCCAGCAGCCGCGGUAAUACGGAGGGUGCAAGCGUUAUCCGGAUUUAUUGGGUUUAAAGGGUGCGCAGGCGGGCUAUUAAGUCAGUGGUGAAAUCCCGGGGCUCAACUCCGGAACUGCCAUUGAUACUGAUAGUCUUGAGUUUGGUUGAAGUGGGCGGAAUGUAGCAUGUAGCGGUGAAAUGCAUAGAUAUGCUACAGAACACCAAUCGCGAAGGCAGCUCACUAGGCCAAAACUGACGCUCAUGCACGAAAGCGUGGGGAUCAAACAGGAUUAGAUACCCUAGUAGUC